GUGUGUGUAUGGGUUUCCCUGUGAGCGUGUCUUCUCAACGGGCUAGCGACUCGGCGCAGCUCUGAAGAGUGGAGAUUGGCGAUUUGGGGUGCUGGAUACGCCUCGGUUCCAAGCUGUGGCUAGAGGAUCCCCGCCGUCGUGUUGUUCCGGCUGUCGGUGCUACUUCCGCGGCUGCUCCUUGGGCGCUGCUUCGCUGUCCACGCGAAUUGUGCCGUUGCUGUUCUGGUCAUCCAUCUCGCCCUGCGUCUGCUCGGCCUGCUGCUUUGCCCUGCGUGCGAUCUGGUUUGUAUUGUUUCCUCUGGUAUUAGAUUUGUUGUCGUGGGCUGUGUUCGGUACGGUGUUUCUUGAGCAACGAUGUCGUUGGAUUAGGCGCUGAUUUUUAUGGACGCCGCUUAUGUGCUACNNNNNNNNNNNNNNNNNNNNNNNNNNNNNNNNNNNNNNNNNNNNNNNNNNNNNNNNNNNNNNNNNNNNNNNNNNNNNNNNNNNNNNNNNNNNNNNNNNNNNNNNNNNNNNNNNNNNNNNNNNNNNNNNNNNNNNNNNNNNNNNNNNNNNNNNNNNNNNNNNNNNNNNNNNNNNNNNNNNNNNNNNNNNNNNNNNNNNNNNNNNNNNNNNNNNNNNNNNNNNNNNNNNNNNNNNNNNNNNNNNNNNNNNNNNNNNNNNNNNNNNNNNNNNNNNNNNNNNNNNNNNNNNNNNNNNNNNNNNNNNNNNNNNNNNNNNNNNNNNNNNNNNNNNNNNNNNNNNNNNNNNNNNNNNNNNNNNNNNNNNNNNNNNNNNNNNNNNNNNNNNNNNNNNNNNNNNNNNNNNNNNNNNNNNNNNCUUUGACAGAAGUAGAUAGGAUCGAUGCACCCACCGCAUAGAGCUCAAUGAAGCUCGUCAAUCCAGCAAUACAUGGCAUCGGGUAGCGUCGCGACACGUCAACCAACCACGCAGCCACCAUUGUCUUACCUGCUCUAAGCAUGCACUUAACGUUGUUUCAGAUGGAAUGCAUUCAACAUACAUGGUGGAAGAGAGUUGCCCCCAGGCCCCCAGUACUGAACCACGACGUCCACAAUAAGGAGAUGGAGAUCAUCGUCCCAGGGGUAAUCAAUUUAAACUUUGCUAACAAUAUGCGUGCACUUGCCAGAGAGGUGCAUUCAAUACUUCCCUACUUGAGGGGAUCGCAUAUACUAAAUUAAAAUGCAGUGAUCACAUAACAGAUUAUAAAUUGUUUUCUUAAUUUACACACACUGUACACCUGCUUUCCCAAAUCGGCAUUACCAUAUCACCGUAUAUCCAACCUUUAGGCGCAACAGGCAACCUACAAUUGGAGUGAUGGUUCAGUAAGAAAGAACAUUUAGCACAAAGAAAGAUGAAUUUUGAAAAAAAAAACUUGCAGUGAACACAGAAAAAAUCGAUGCUCGACUGACUACUAAUACCAUCUCAAAAUAUGCAAGAUGCAAGAUGCUUGACUGACUACUAAUACCAUCCAAAAAUCAAUGCUCAACUGACUACUAAUACCAUCUAAAAAUAAGAGGUCAAACCAAUCAAGUGAAAGACUUUUGAACUGGAAUUAGACACAUUGUACAUCAUCAAUCAUUAGGAGCUGGACCCCAUAGAAUCUUUUCGGCUUCGGUUGUAUGAUUAGAAUUUGGCUUCAAACUAACUAAACUAAAGAGUUUUUUUCCUUGUCCACUCUUUUGUUGCUAAAUUAUGAUCCAUAAAGUUAUAGUGCAUCUUGGAAAGGUUAUAAUAGUUUUGGUUACAGGGUUGAUGAUAUAUCUAUGGAUAUUAUGUUGACUGAUAGCCCAUGGUUCAUCUGAGCUCACUUUGGCGCGAAUGCGGUGAUGAAGGUUCGACCUGCAGUUUCAGAUUUCCCUUGACUCAUUCAGUGCAGCUUCCUUCGUGACGUAUGCCACAUGCUAAUAUCAACUUUCUCAUUGUAUAUAAAUUUUCAGGAGAAAAAAGGAAAAAGUUGAUACGGUUUUCCUUGCAGCUCAAUUUUCACACCCUUCCCAGGUUAAUAUUCACUGCUUUCUUUGGACCAACUUUAUGCUGCCUUUUCUCUGCACACACCUCAUCAAAACUGAACCAAGAGGCAUCACAUAGGUUUAGAUGGCGCGUGUGAACAUGGUUUAAGAUAUGAUAUUUCUUGGAGAGAGCAAACUAACCCUUUCAAUUUCACGAUCUAUUAACUAAAAUAUUGAUCGACGGCACAUUCUGAUGCUUCAACUUUGUUUUUGCCUUAUUGUCACUUAAUUAGGUAAUAUAGUAAGAAAGAAUACUGAAUGAGACUCGAAGGAAUUUUGAUGUCAACUCGUGAUUAGCAGAACUUAAAAUGAUCUCUUUAGACAAGUAUCAGAUUAAAGAAACCAAUAUAGAACCUUAUUAAAUAGGGACUUAGCUGGAAGGUGAGAAAGAAAUUACAAUUGCUAUUGGUGCAACAAUACAAAAUUUAGCUUAGCUAUCUAUCAGAUUUCUUGACUCAAAUUCCAGCUAGCAAAGACGAAGAUUGAAUCCCCAAAAAUCCAUGCUAAACCAAAUAUAGACUUGUUGAUUUACCUCAAUUGAAUUAUUUAUAAAACAUUAUACAUGAACUUGUUUUAAAUACAUGACAAAAUCUAGCUGAGCUAAACCUUCCUGGAAUCUUAUGUGGAUUUUUAGAGUUUAGACCAAGGAGAAAUGGGGAAAUAAUUCGGGACAGAGGGUAGUGCACACGGGAGCCUCAGAAUAGCGGGUAGCCUAGCGAUGUUUAUAGGAAAAAGGUGGCUUUUGUCUCAUCAGUGAGUUUGUUGCCCAAUGCCCGUGCUACUGAUAUAAUGUCGUUCAUGACAUACCUCGCCCAGUUCAAAUUCGGGAUGUCAUCCAAAUUUUAUGAGAGCCACAAAAUAUGUUGGAAGAAUAACUACGGAUCAAAUGGACCUCGAACUUUAUCUCACCGUGAACACCACAUCAAUCACAUUCUAACAGGAGGCCUCAGCCAUCGCCAAGGCAUCUCAUGGAACAUGGGGGAAACUCCAAAUCGAACAGAGCAACACAAAAAUAGGAAUCAGGCAUGAGGAAAGGGGAAUAAGCUAACCUGGGUAAUGGGAUCAGCAGGCCCAGGAGGGUGCCACCAUGCCAGUGGCCUCCACAAGAAUAAUCUUGCACACGAUGUCGCCUCAAGCAAUGGAUCGCCAACACCAGAACCGAAGCACUUGUUGUUCAUGGUUUCAGUUAUGAGAUAUCCCGUGAACUGAGGUACAAAUCACAAAUAGGUCAGCUCAUGAGCUAAAGAAUAUAAUCUUAUCCAAGAAAAGAUAAAAUAGUUCGCAGCAACAAAGCUUUAUUAAGUUCUUUACUAAGAAAGCUAACUUAGAAAUUACAGCCCAAACAGAGAAUAAAUGGUUUAGAACAGGCAUAAAUCUGAUCCAUCUUCCAUCAUCAAUAAUAAAAACAGGAAAUCUUGAAAUCCUUGAUCCAAACAUCAUAAGUCACAAAAGUCGAAGCAAACAGUGAACUGAAAAUUACUCUGAAAAAAACUUUUCUUUUGUUGACUCUAAACGAAGCCCAUGCCCUGUUACUCCAUUCUUUUGUUGACUCUAAAUGAAGCGUGAUUUAUAUGUUCGAUUACAGCCAUGACUUGGCGAUAUUCUAAAGAAUAUAACUAUAAGACCAGAGAUAGAAAACUAACAGAGAAUGCUGAGAAUAGAGAACACCUGUAAUAUAGUAAUGGUACAAAAAUUUGGUCGUAAGGUUGUGUGUGGCCGACAAGGGUGGCUCAGGGAGCGCACCAUGCAGCAGCGUGCGAGCGCUGCGGAAGAUGGGGAUGGGAGGGAGGCGUUUGCGUGCGCAUUUGGUGAUCAAAUGGCUCAGGAGGGGACCGAUCUUGGGAUAGGAUCAGUCAACCAACAUGUAGUAGUGACCUGACCGGAAAGGUAGGAUUUGCAUGAGCAGGUCAACAGAGAAUUAUAAUGUCAGCAUAUAGCAAUAAAACCAAUGAGCACUAUCAAGUUACCAAAAAGAGGGCGUUUACCGACAGCUUACCGUUAAUUUGCAGUCGUACCACUCAGUUAAAAUUAAGAAUAACCACACCUCAUUCAAUUAUGAUUCAAACAACAUGAACAAUUAUCCGUGAAGUUCAUUUCUAAACUACGCGCUUAUUAAGAUAGGUGUUUACCGGUAAUAGGGUAAAAUGAUACAUAAGUUUUAACUUCAGGAUAGGUAUUUACUGUAUUUUUCAGAGAUGGACAUGCGGGUCACCCCAUUAACUCAACAAGUAGAUAUAUUAGCUAGCUAUUGGUGUUCUCAGAAACCAUAAAUAGUUUAAACCGAAUUAUGUGUGCUUGUGCAGAUAGUAUAGAUGUAUGAUGGAUUCCUAGUUGCCGUGAUCAAUGAUCAAGGAGAUGCUUCUACAUGCAUACGCAUAGAACUAAGCAUUCAUUCUUCUCCUUGAUUCUAUUCUCCUGUUAAGCUCUCAAAUUUCUACACAUUUAUGAUAGAAAAAUGUGAUACUACAACUGCAGUUUAUAUUGCUGUAUUUAUAUGCUUCCAUACACAUGCUAUGAAGCACGAAACAUGACAAGGAAAAUACAAAGGAUAGCCUAAAGCAAAACAAUGGGGUUAACUAAAAUUUACCUAUUCUAAACUUGUUUCUUUCUGAACAGAGCAUCAACUCAAACCACAUAUAGCAGUGAAGCAACAAUGAUAUUUUCUCUAAAAAUCCAACACAGUGCCACAGACAGCACACAACACACUUAAGUACAAAAAAUCAUCAUUUUCCUUUGAAAGGGAGGGCGUUGGUUGGGUAAUGUGUACCAAAAAAUCAUGCCAAAUUUGAACGAAAGCCUGGGCAACCACUGAGACAUAAAGGAGUCAGAGGGGAGGUAAGGAGGAUUGGGAGUAGGUCAUCUAUGCAAGGAAGAUCACGGGGACCAAAAUCCUACAUGAGACUGAAAUGGAAAGGUUGCCCAAGGCAGACAAGAAUCAUCGGAAUCAUUUUCGAAUCUAAAAAUGGAAUAUAGACAGCAGUGACGAUAGUAGUAGAUGCAGAAUUAUGCUUAAGAGCACAACUGAAAUCUAUAUAACCGUCGUAUUCAUGUGCAGACAUAUCUUCAUCACAUCAUCGUUUUCCAAGUAUAGUUAAUAAGAAAUCCGAUUCACAUAUGUCCUGGUCAUCCCAUUUAUGCUGAAUAUAUUCAAGGCACUUCUGUAACAAUUUUUUUUAAAUACCCACUGUUAUCUAAUAUCUAGUAAACUGGGUACAAAAGACGGAGGCAAGAAGCCCAUGUUCUCUCAGAUCGAGUAUAUCCCUGUCCUGAAUGGUGUAUCCAAGGUUCCCCAUGUCAUGUUUAAGUACGAAUCACUUGUUUAUUGUGACAUGGACCACUGAUAUCUGAAAUAUAUGAAAAGACCCAUCAGGGCCCAGGAAAAAUAUGCCCUCCUAAAAGUAAAAGAAUGUCCCUGCUAUUUAAAAGAAGAUUGGCACUAAUAAGAGGCUAAGGAGAAGCAAAAUAAGCAAAGUAAAUGUCUGAAAAAUAAGAGGAGAGCAUCUUCGACAUUACCUAGAUACAUUCAGAAAAUCAAAAGCACCUGAACUAACAACUAAAACAGUGCCCUGAAAUAGAAUCCCAGACAUGAAGCUAUAAGCAUAAAUAACAACCAACGCAAAAUCAAAAGAAAUAAAAAUAUGUGCAUCACAAAAUACUAUUAGGAGAUCAGGUCUACUGUACAAAUAUGAGGCAGCUGCCAUACAAUCUCUAGAUGCGAAACAGCUGCAUUCAUAACUAUAUAUGCAUUAGCAAGAUAAAUCACUCUACCGAUUUGUAAGCAGCAAACCAGCUCAAAUGUAGUCAUCAUCAGUAACUCUUGCUUCGAUAAUAACAGCCAACCACCAUGUAUAUCCAUCCAUGAUACAUAAAGGGGGAGAAGUAAAUUACGUUGAAUGAGAAUUAAUUAAUUGCCACGCGGCUGCAGCUGCCAAACAUGCCACGGUUAAAUACAUGGAUUUUGUCAGGGAUCUGGGUACAUGAAAAUAGACAAAGUAACAAAUCAAUUAGAAGGAGCCAAAACAAGCAGAGGUGGUCAGUGAGAAUACCCGCAGGCGCCCCAACAGGCUAUAGACACCAUGUCACCGUGACAUGAGCCGAGACAUGGUGCCUAACAUGAGCCGAGACAGGCCGGCGAAACUGUAACAUGACGUGCAACAUGUAAGAAAGUAAGCAUCCAGGGAAGAUAGGCUGGCAGGCCAAGCAACUAAAUUAGAACACAUACACCCAUUUCUUGCACAGAGCAGUGCUUGUAAUCCCUUUAUUUAUUUUCAUUAACAAAGUGAGAAUGCAGGGUUAUUUUUUCAUUAAAAAAUGUGAGAAUGCAGGGCGGAGAAGGAUGAGGAAGCAACGAUAGAAAGCUCUAUUACCUCACACGGCCAUUCGAACUAAUCACCAGGAGACAAAAGAACAUAUUAGGCUCUAGGAAUUAACACAACCUCUAUUGCUUUGUUCAUACACACUCAAUUCUGAAAAAGGAAAACAUAAGCUUCAGGAGCAAACAAAUAGAAUAUGAAAACUGUAUAUAUAUACAGAGAAAACAAAAAUAGGAACGCAAACUGUCAUAUUACUCCCAGGUGUGAAGAGCCAAAGCUAUUUUCAAGCAGUAUUAUAAGCUAGCUCUAGAUUUUACUCCAUAGUAAACAGAAUAGUUUUGUAAGGUAGCUCUAGAUUUUAUACGAUUCAAAAAAGCAGCAGAUGGACACAUGAUUGUACAACUGAUGCAUAGUCACCCUCUUCUUGGAAUAGCCCACGGCUUAUACAUAUAGAUGAAAAUUUCAUCCAAACAUGCCAGUGUUUUUAGGCCAUUAAAUGGAAAGUGAUGCAUUUUUUGUUUGUCAAGUCCCUAUUGACCCACAGGGCAAACAGUGGUGUUUUACCAGGCCAACUAUUUUCAAAAUUUCACUAAACAGAACCCAACACCCAAAAGUAAUAGAGGGACGUUCUCCUCAUUAGCAUACAGACUGCACAGAGGUGAGCUAUAUGGACUCUACAACCAGCAGCAAGUGCAAGAUGUGUAGUGUGUAUGCCUAGUUGCCUACCAAGUUCUACUUCAUUCUACUGGUCAGAACUCUCUAAGGCGUCCGCCUUGCCUUAUGCCUUACCGCUUAGGCGGUGAGGCGCCCCCCCCAGCGCCUUGCCUCGCCUUACUGCCUUAAAAACAUAGCUCAUCAGUUACCUACGCCAUCUCACAACGCCAAAAACAUCCAUUCAUGGCAGAGAAUAUAUCAUCCACCACCGCAACGGAAAAGGAAACAUAAACGAAUUAAAUGAACAUGUAAAGACAAUAAAAGAAAAUUGUGCUUAAAAAGAACCAGGUCCAUACGCCUUGAGAUGGUUCAACAAAGCAGUAGCAUGGCAAGGAUCAAGAUAGAACUUCAUGUCACGCUAUGGUCAUGCAUUACUGAAACGAAAAAAGGGACGUUGAAGAUAGCUGACCUCAAUGCAUAUUUUUUUGCUGAGGGGGGCAAGACUGCUACCAGAUUUUGUUUCAGAUUUCAGGUUUAACCAUCCACAAAAGUAAUUAGUAGUCUUAAGGUUCAGUUGCAAGCUCAAAGCUGUAAUCACCACAAGAUUGAGUGUAUGUAUAGCAGCUUAGUAAAGACAAACUGAGUAUAUGUAUAGCAGCUUAGUAAGGCAAAAUUACAAACAUACAUAGGUUGAUCAUGCAACGGAUAUGCCAAAAAAGAUUGGCUUGUACAUGAAUUAAUGGAUAUAUACAGGUUGAGUACUUCAGUUGCCUACAAACACAUAAAAUGGACAAUGAAUAUUUGCCUACUACAGCAAAACCUCAUCUCUAUUUGCCUGCAUAUUGUGUUGGUUGCCUACAAACCAAAAAUCGAACCGCAGGGAUUCUGUAUAGUUGACACAAACAAAAUGCCUAAACUGCUUUUCUCAAGAUCCCGUGACUGAAGGUCGUGGGUACCAAAUUGUAAUAUAUGAGCAUUAGUACCUCUUAGGUAGCACAGAAAUUCGUUGGAACUUCAACAAGAGCGGAACGGAGGCGAAUACACGGGCACAUAAAUUAGACAAAUAAAUGAAAGAUAAAAAUAGCUUUUCUGAAUAAUGUAGAGGCCCAGCCACUUGUUGUUGAUCUUGCAAGAUGUGUUGGGAUCCCACAAGAAUCAAAUGCCUCAGGAAUCUCCUCCCUGCAUGAUCCAGUGCCAACAAAAUUCUGAGAUGAUGAACACAAGAGGGAAACAAAAAGGCGGCGGCCGUACUGUGGAGUGCAGCGGCCGCAGAUGGAUCGAGGACCUGGUGGUUGGAUGGAUGACGAGGAUGCCAACGACGGAUGACCUCAAGGCCAACCAACGGCUCCGGCGUCAGCCAUGGCGGCCCGGACACCAAGGACAAGGGCGUCCUCCUCCCCAACCACCACUUUUCCUCAGGGGCCCUGCCCCUCCGCAAGCACCAUGAAGACAUGCCUGCUCUGAUCUCCCACGAAUCAAGAGAUGAGCUCAGGUUACAAUGCAAAGAUGAGUAAACGAUGAAGAAAAAGCUCACUUGUGCCAAAACUGACCUGCAGUUCGUAGACGCGGUAGAGACGCGAUGGUUUCCCCGUCAGCCAGCCGCCCACACGCGCCCCCUUCAUCUCUUCUCCCUAUCGAGCCCGCGGCGCGCGUCUUUCCCGUCGGUCCACUUGCUGGCCACGCGUGCGGCUCCCUCUGCCCCGAUGUGGGUGGUUGAAGCUCGCCAACGGGCGUCCCCGGACCUUCUUGGGCGGCGGCUUCCUCCGGGUUGCGUGGUCGUCGGACAGAGAGGAGGGAGGCGGAAUGGCGGCGGCGGCGGCUCCAAGUGCCAGUCCACCCCUGGUGGGGAUCUGCUUGGCACCCCAGGGACACGAUUGACCUCCUCCUCUUUCCCUGCAGUAUUCUUCUCAGGCCGCUGCACCUCCCUCUCCUCUGUCCUCUCUUUGUCCCUCCUCCCCUUCCUUCACUCUUCCUCAUCUUCUAUCUCCCGGCCGCCGUCGCCGUCAAGACCACCGCUCUUGCCGCGUCUUCAGCUUGCUGCACGAUUUGCGACGAGGUGCGCGCCGGCUCGCGCGGUUGCUGCUCCUCUGCUCCUGCUGAGUCUGGAUCGAGGCCGCUCUCCUCGGCUCGAGCUCCUCCCCGGGCUCCCUUUCUCCUUCCCUUCACCGACGGGAUCCCUUUCUCCUUUCCCUGUCCUUCCAUGGUGUCGUUGAUGGCGAGUGGACGGGGAAGAGAAGGAAGGCGAGGUGGAAGGGAGGCUGCGGCGGCGACCACGGGCUACCAGGCAGGGAGGGGCGGCGGAAGAGGGGAGAGGAGAAUGGGUGGGGCGUGGGGCUCGAGGCAGGAAGGGGAUUGGGGGCUAGGUUUUCACCUCGCUCUCGGGUUCUCCCACCGUCGUGGCACAACUCACAUACACGCGCGCCGUGACUGAAAUGUUGGGCCCGUGUGCAACGAUGGCCCAGUCGUCAUGCACUGAAACUUGAAGCCACAAUGUAAAGUAAAACCUACGGCCAGAUCUUUGAGAAAGAGGUAAAAAGGAGCAGAAUUUUGACAGCGAGGUGAAUCGUGUGAACCGGAUCCAUCGCGCGAUGCAAGUGCGCUAGAACGGCGGGUAACGUAGGAGGCUUUAUAUGUUAGAUUAUCAUAGAUCUAAUCACGUGUCUUCUGUUCAUCUUAUGCACAUAUGAAUCGUCCGUUCCGGAUCGCGAAUGAAUUCAUGGAGAUGAGGACAUUGAGACACCGAUUGCUACCCCAUGCAAGAAUCGGGAGAAUUCUUCAACGGAGAUGGCAUAAAUACCGGGGACGACUUUGGCAGGUAUGGGCAUGGCAUCGAUUCCAGCCCCUGAUGGUCGAAACCUUCGGCCGGCGAUCACCGCGCAUCAGCGGAUUUGGACACAGCGCACUCCAGUGGGCUCGGUGAUGCACGGCGCCCUCCGGUGCAGCGCGACCAUUGACCCUGGCAAGGUCGUCGGCACCGGCACAUGUGGCUGGCCGCGUGUUUCUCACAUGCAUACUGCGAGGCGGCGGUGGCCAUCAACUGGCACGCGACGCCGCAGCCCUCCACCGGCGGGGAGGCGGUGCCCAGUGCGCUUGCAGCCCUCGGUUCUGACGCGGCCUCGACCCCGCGGCGUCCCGUUCGCCGUGAGGUGAAGUGCUCAGACGGCGCGGCCUCGGCCGGCGUCUGGAGACAACCAAACCAAGGAGGAGGCGGCUGUGGCCCACGGCUCCGAUGUGGAGACAGCGGCCAGCGACCAUAGCGCGUCGUUCCCAACCGUUCGCGGCGCAGCGCGCAGCACGCAGCUCUCCUCCGGCGCGGCUCGCAGCCCGAUGGCACAAGCGGCCAGCGGCCGAUGCGGUUCUCUCCGCUCGGCCAUGGCGCAGCGGGCUCAUUCUCGCGGGGCGCACCGGCUACGCUCCCCGGUCUCAACCUCGAGGCGCAAAGGCGAUACUGCCUCCGGCAGGCCAGUGCACGGCGCGAGCACAUCUCGGCCAACGACCGGCGUUUGGAGUGACUGCUCCAUCCUGCAUGGCCGCAGCGGCAGCGUGACCCCUCCGGCAUCGCCCGCAGCAUCUUCCCCGGCUUCCACCGGCUCACCACGGCCGGAGCAAUGACCCGGCGCCAACGUACUCUACGUACCGGCGGUGUAGUGGUGUACAAAGCCAAAACGAAUCUUUGAUUCGUAACCACACAGAGAAAGCCGAUGGUGCUUAUCUCUUCGUUGUUUUUCAGUUUUCCCAUCAAGAUAUUACUGUACAACGGCAUUGUUUUGCGAUUGAAAUUAAGUUUUCUCGCACAACAGUACUGAUUUGCGAUUGAAAAUUUUCUUUUCUCGCAAAACAAUUUCAUUGCGAUUGAGAUUAAUUUUCUCUCGCAAAAUAUUAAUUCACUUUGCUGAAUUAUCUUGCAACUUGAUACAACAUCAUCUCAUUUAAUUUGAGGUCUAUAUAAUUCAAGUUGUUCACCUGAACAUCAAGAUUGCACCAUCAUUACUAUUCAUUAUGAUAGUGGUGUAUUUCUGUUGAGUACGAUGUAUUUCGGAAUGUAUGUAUCUUCAUGUUCGCUACAUGUCGAGAUUAAUACGUCUAUUUGCAAUUGAGAUUUUUAAUUUCUUGCAAAUAAGAAUGCAAAAUUCAAAGUGAUUUCUUCAAAUUGAUGUAUUGGGAUCACAGGGUAGUCAUAUAGAUCCAAUGUCUUCAUAGAUUAUCAAUGACUACUGUUGAAGUCUAUAUUUUGUCAUUUUGACAUUAUAAUUGCUUUACAAAGUGCUCUCCAACACAUUUUAUUAAGUCAUGACAUAAGACAUUAUGAGUGAGUAUCUACUAAUUUCAUCAGAUUAUACUCUCUAGUGUUGCGAGAUCUACUCCAUUUUGAAGAUUAUCUUCAAGGUGUCAUAUUUAGCAAUUUGAGGUUCACGCUAAUGGUUUCAAAAUAACUUCUCGAAAUACUCAUUGAUUUUGCUAAGUUCAUUACAACAUCAACCAUGAUGGUCCUUAAUUUACUGGUUGUAAAUUAAUUAUCUUUGGUUUACCCAUAGCGGUAAAAUAUGGCUAUAGAAUUUGAGGCAUUCGCUCUCAAUGGACACCACUGCCCUAUCUGGGCCAUGGACAUCAUGACCGCUCUUGUAUCCCGUGGGAUAAUGCCUCUGGUCAGGAUCACACCGCUAACAGAAAAAUGGUGUCUUAUAUAUCAUAAGGCAUUAGAUUCAGAUCUCGACAUCUGAUUAUUCUAUAUCAGCAAUUUCUGGGAUACAAUGAACCUCAAGGGCAAAAGUUUGAAUCUUACUUCAACCUUCAAUCCGACAUCACCAGCUGUGACGGGACCCUAUGAGCAUGGAGAAUGUGAUGGUUGAAUAUGCCUCAACCGACAUGUUUGGAGACUAUGAAUAGUCUUUCAAUCUCCUGAGUGGUCAAUAUAAUUAAUGUACAUUUAUGAUGUUGUAACAACAACAUAAGUAUUGUUGUCAUCGUCAUAUAUUGUAUAUCACAAUAUAUUGUAUCAGCACUUUGGUACAAAUACAUUUGUAUGUCUAUAUAUCUGACAGUGAUUUUCAUAUUGAGAAUCUUCAUGUCUAUAUAUAAAUUUCUAUGGGAGUCAAUCCGAUGAAAAAUGAUAUGUGCCUUGUGGACAUAUGCACCACAAACUCUAUACUCAGGGAAGUUUAAUGUUUCCACUCUCAUUGAGAGAAAGGAGAUAUUUUAAAAUCGCUAGACGCGAUGAGGUAUUUGUUGGCUCAACUCGAGUCAUAUUUACUAUCCCUGUGGGUACUCGAGUAACGUCGGGAUGCUUUAUGCUUCUCAGGUUUCACUCGUACCCUACUAAACUAUGGAGGUAUCUGUCAAAAUAGUUUCCAUAGCGAAACUUAUGAUGACAACAAAGAGGAAUAACUUCUCUUUACCAUAUGCAAUGGAUAUGGCAAGCACAUUCUAUGCGUAUCAUCUGGAUUGUACUACACAUAUGACACAACCCGUAGCACAUGUUGUGUACAAGAUAGUUUUCCAGAGUGUCUUGUACAUGACAAACUUGGCAUACUCGCCUUGGUCAUCGAGACAUUGGGUUGAAACCAAAACUAUCAGCAAUUCCAUUGGUUUAUGAUUAUUAUGAUGCUAAAUUCUAACAAUAUUUGGAUUUUGUGUGCACUGCAUAUGACACAGGGAAGCUAAUUUUAAGGAUUGUGCACCUUAAAGUUUACGCUGAACCACUCAGACUCCUUGAAUGCAUCAAGUCGAGGUAAGUGGUUUUUCCCAACCAUUGACUAGACUAUUCAGGUAUCCAUGGUUUUUCCAAAGACACAUCUACAUGAUGGUCUCAAGUGUGCUUUAUUCACACGAAACCAUUGACUCAUUAUCCCGACAUCGAUUUCAAGCAAAUCGAAUGGAUAGCAUUUGCAGAAUUCUCCUUGAGUGCCUUUUUCUAUGGCCCUCGGAUUGAAGUUUAGCAAUUUGUCCUAAUGUCUAGACUCAAAAUGGUUUGGUAGAAUCCCAUCCAAAGAAUUGAGCUCAUUGCAUGAUCUUUACUUUGAAAUUGCAACUUACCAACUUUACGUUGGAGUCAUGAAGUUUUACACGCUCAUGACCAAACUGCAUAAUUUUAUUCCCCUCUAUCUUUGAUACGUGGAAAUCUACCAAGUAUUUCCUAUCUGCAGUAAUUCGGUUACACACCGAUAUCAUCACCCCGACAUACAUCAUUGGCCCCUCAACAUAUAGUUGGGAUCUAUGUGAGGAAUAACUGUAUUACCGUCAAUACCUCAAGCCCCUCACAUGGGGAGUUAUUCAAGGCUAGUAUGUUGAUUCAAUGAGGAAUAUUUCCAGGCAUUAGGGGGAGAAUUCAAGUACCAUAAAGAAUGCCAGGAAAUUAGUGGAAUGUUCAACACAUUUCUGCCUCAUAUCCACGUAAUCAAAGAGCUGAACCAUGUGUUCAGAAGAUUUGCAACAUAUUGCAAAUAACCUGCCAGAUUCAUUUACUGACUAUAAAGGUGUCACACAAUCCUACAACCCUGCAAAGUAUGCCUGAAAGAGUGGAGGUACCAACAAAAUCCACUCCACUCCCCGUUCAAAGCAACAGGGGGAGAUGUAUGGCAUAAGUACAUCAGGAUUCAGCUUCUCGCAAGCAAGGAUAUCAAGGCCUGUGAAUCAGUAAAUGCAAGUCAACUUCACGUUGGCAGACACCUAAUGGGUAGUAUACACCCAGUGGACGGGAAACCUCCACCAACCCAGGUCAUAGUGCACACAAUGACCGGGAUAUUGGAAUACCCGACUUAGCCGCAUUGGGAAAUCGCAAGCAGUCACCUUGGGUAACGAUAUUUCCAUCAACUCUAUAUUGAUAUAUAGAUUCUGGAGAAACAUAUAACCGGAAGUCUGCAAUUGUCGACAUACAUUUCUCAACUAGAUUGCAAAACCUUUCACAUGAUUCAGGUCCAAAGACCAUGGCCAUGGCAAAGUGUGAACAACACUCGGACUGAACUCAAGCAAAGGGUAUAAUCUAGGUAGAAAUGAUCUUGCUCAAUAAUGGAAAGAUAUUCAUAAGCAAUACCUACACCAGUUUUCUUCUGGAAAUAGAAUUGAGAACAACGAGGUGGUGAAACAAAGAGCAAGUAUUGUAGCAGAAGGGUUCACGCAGAUAGCCAACUAUUCUCCAGAGAUGGAAUCUCUUUCCGAUAACUUAUUUCAUUAGCAGUACAAAAUCAUCUAUCACUGCAGUUGAUAGAUGUAGUGAUUACAUAUCCAGGUGGAUCACUAGAUUCAGACAUAUAUGAUUGUUUCCCGAUGGAAUCUCAAUUCUGAAUCGAAAUACAAAAUGCAACAUACAUUGUGUAAAAUUAGUAAGUCACCAUACGACUUAUUGUUGUCAGUACAUAUGGUACAACUGACGUAGUGAGAUCCUUAUGCACAAGGGUUACUCCUACAACGAUGAUUAUCCAUGCUUGUGUGUCUGCAAUGAUGACACAUGUAAUCAUCUAAAUGAUGGAGUUUAAAAUGAAGGAUUUGGGUAAACCAAAAUACCGCUCGUUACUACAACUUGAGCACCUUCAUUCAUACAUUAUGGUUUACUAUGUUAUCUAUAUCCAAAAUAUAUUGGAGAAUUUCAUUGUGGACAAAUCUUAUCCAUCCAUAACUCUCAUGGUAGUUCAUUCUCUAGACGCAGAGAAAUAUCGAUUUAGACCAAGAGAUGAUGGAAAUGAGAUAUUGGGACUCAACGUUCCAUAAGCCAUUGGAUCCACCAAACACGAUUGGUUGGUACUCAAGAAUAUCUUUCGAUAUCUCCAAGGCAUCAAACAUUUUGUCCUGGUUUUUCAGUUUCAUAGAAAUGUGAACACCGAUAUCAUUGGAUACAUCGAUCAGAUCCCCACUAUGUCAGAUCGUAGACAAGCUUAGUGUUCCUACUAGGUGUGGUAGCCCUCUCAUGAAGAGUCUUCGAAACAGACAUCAUGGCUACAUCCACCAACCAUUAUCUCAAAGAUAAUUUUGCUUGUGUUGCCCGGAUGCAAACAUGUUACAUAAUAAGCAAUAUCACUAUAUUGCAUAUCUUGCAAGUCAAAUCAUGUGACUGAUUUGUUCACCAAGUCUCUACCAACUUCUACAUUCCGAAAAUAUGUUCAUGGAAUUGGUAUAUGACGGCUUCGGAAUUUGCAAGAAUCAGGGGGAGUAUCUUCCUGAAUUGUUCCUGUUAAAAGCAUCAUAUUAUACUCUUUUUCCCUUCAUGAGUUUACUUUAUAGGUUCUCAUGAAGGUUUUUAAUGAGAUAAUAUCAACACAAGACCAUAUGUCAUAUUUUCUGUUUUCCCCACCGGUUUUUUUAAGAAAGUAUAUAAGACAUAUUUAUUGUCCUUUAAUUCUAUGGGUUUUUCUCAUAUUGAGUUAAACAGACAAUAAUCAUUAUAUGUUGCAUCAUUUUCUCCUUAUUUUUCCUACUGGGUUUGAACGAGUUUUUGGCAACAUAUCAAACACCUCUAUCCUCAUUUUUCCCACAGGGUUUUGGAGGAAACUUUAUCAAGAUGAUGUCUGCUCACAAGAUCAAGCAUUGAUUAGGGGGAGUGUUAGAAUUAAUUAACCAUGUGUUAAUUAUGGGAUUAAUCCAUGCUUGUACUAACCGCAGGCAGUUGUAAACUGCCGCGUUGGUUCCUGCCAAACAUGC
rnacentral:lncRNA from 1 species